UACGGAGGGGGCUAGCGUUGUUCGGAUUCAUUGGGCGUAAAGGGUGCGUAGGCGGCGCGGUAAGUCGGGUGUGAAAUCUCGGGGCUUAACUCCGAAACUGCAUUCGAUACUGCCGUGCUUGAGGACUGGAGAGGAGACUGGAAUUUACGGUGUAGCGGUGAAAUGCGUAGAUAUCGUAAGGAAGACCAGUGGCGAAGGCGGGUCUCUGGACAGUUCCUGACGCUGAGGCACGAAGGCCAGGGGAGCAAACGGG
rnacentral:rRNA from 1 species